GAGGACUCACACACACACUCACAAAGAGGGCUGUUUUCCCCUCGCCAAUAGUAGGCUGGACAUUGUCAAAGCCAAACCACCAAUCACAGUGCGCUUCUGGACACCCUUCUCCUCCCACUGCUAUAUAAAAAAGGGGGCUCCAGCUGGUGGACACGCAGCUGACAGCGCAACGAUUUUCUUAACACAGCAGCUGGAAUAAUUACAAUACGUUCAUUUUUAUUUUUUGCUAUAUUCUGACUGGAUAUUAAUAAUUUCCUUUUAUAUAUCUAAUAUGGCAGACAGCCAGGUGGAAAGCAGCGGAGAACUGAGCACCAAGGUAAGGACAAUAGAAGGAGACAGGGCACGAUGCUUUUUCUAACUCUUGCUUCCAUUUAUAACUGUAACCUGUUACUAAUGUUUCUAUUUUAAGCACGGUGCGUAUGAAAAAGAAGACUACCAGUUUUCUAGAUGAUAUUCUUUAUGAUCUGCUUGUAUGCACGAAAUUCUAAUAUAAAUCUACACAUUUGUAAUCCAUUGACAUAUGUACUGAAGGAUCCGAGUGGAUGGAUGGAGAAUAAAGACAGGCUGAUUAAGGUGCUAGUUUUGGCACAGAGAACAUUUCUAAGCUUCCUCUGCGGGCAGCUUAAUACCGCCUCCCAGUUUCAUUUAGAGUCAGACAUGCAGAGAUUGUAGGAUGCCUGUCUGUCAUUUCACAAACUACAUAUACGGCCGCUGUACUCGUCAAUGCAGGUGUGUGUUCUGUGAGGGCUGUCCCGAUCUGUCGCCAAACUCUCGGAUAGUUGAGGGAACUGAACCGGCUGAGGUGCGCAGAACUGUUACUUUCACUAUUUGGGGAACGUUUAGAAGUCGAAGCAGUGACCGAAAGCAAAUAAAGACCUUCAGGGAUGGAGGUAGGAUAGCAGAGUGGGUUAUCUCCCGCCCAGCACCGAGUGUUUCCAUUCACGACCGUGGGACUGUCACAGAGCCACAUCUAGUCUUGUUAAACUACUGUUCUGGUUUUGGUUUUAACAUAGUAAAUAUCGGCUUCAUUGUUAUUGCUUCUGAUAGUAUUCGUGUAAUCAUUCACAAAACAAAUGGGAGUUCCGCUGCGGUGAAACGGCGUGAACACGCAUGUUUCUAACUGUCCAGCUCUGUGUUCUCUGUAACUCCAGCGACGCGAUCGAGCAAUAAUCUGAGUUUAUGCAUGUGGAGCUCCACCUCACUGCUACUGUGGCCCUCAGCGGAGCUGGGAGCGCGCACGCUCCUGUGUUUCUCACCAGUGUCGUCACGGUGGAGGCAGGCUGCUGUGCCUGUGCGGACCCUCGCGCCUCUCUUCUUCUUUAACCGAGUUUUCUUUAAUGUCUCAGAGUCCUCGCGCCUCGUGCACCCGCUGGUACUGUAGUACUGAGUGAUGCCGAGGGGACGCUGGUGAUUUCCGCUCAGUUUGUUUCUGAGCAGCUCCAUUUCAAACAAAGGCUAACAGCGAGCGACACGGCGCAGGGUGUUCUACAGGAGCUGAAGGAGAAGAAACAGACUGAAGAGACAGAGAAUGGAGAAGACUCUGCUGCCAAUGGCAAAAAUGACAAGGAAAAUGGUGAGGAAGACAAUGAGGUAGAGGAGGAUGAGGAGGAUGUGGGCGACGAAGAGGAGGAGGAUAGAGAAGGUGACGAGGAGGAUGAUGAAGAAGAUGACAUUGAUGGACCGAGGGUGAAGAGAGCAGCUGAUGACGAUGAUGAUGACGAGGAUGAGGUUGAAAGCAAGAAGCAGAAGACAGAUCAGUAGUGUCUGCAGCGCCCACUCUGCACGGAGGACGACACUAUUGAAAGACAGCCAGCAAACCUUCUACACCUCAGUCCUCCUUUCGUAACAAAAAUGUGUUUAAAAAGAAAAUUUGUUUGUAUUUUUAUUUACAUUUUAUAUUUUUGUAAAUAUUGUAAGGAGUUUGGCCAUUUUGCAAAAGUGAUCUGGGUAUACAGUGGUGCUCUGAAGACUUUUAGAUCAACAUCAACCAUCCAUACUCUGUCUCAACCACCAGCCUGUCAUUCCAACAGCACACACACACACACGUACUACAACUACCUUUUUUCUGUUUUUCUAAGACGUAUAGGAUGCUAGAAGUUGUGUGUUGACCUGUAGUUGCAUGGGAGUGUUAAAAUAACUCGGCUCUUUUCCCAGUGCUGGGGAUAUAUUAGUGGUAGUUUCUAUGAGAUUCCAAAGUCGUAGUUUCUCUUGUCCAUGUGUCUCUAUCUGUGUGUCCGUCAUGGCCAGAUUAUAAUUUUUUUUAAAUGUCUGUGCAAUUUGGUUGAAUAAUAAAUUCAUUUGAUUUUGUUUUUAGAUUUGGACUGAUUCUGCUUUAAUUAAAAAAGAAGUUUGGACAACCAGGAAGUCGCAAAACACUCCUUUAGGUUGUACUCAUGACAUGAAAGCUGGUAUAUUAAGUCUUAUUAUUUUGGUAGUUGAUUAAUAAGCCAGGUUGCUGAGCAUUUAAAUUUUUUUUUUCAAAGUAGCUAGCCUCAGUAGUCAGGGAUC
ensembl:lncRNA